rfam:Triticum aestivum genome assembly, contig: Triticum_aestivum_CS42_TGACv1_scaffold_323656_4BL
UUUGUACUCCCUCCGUCCCAAAAUUCUUGUCUUAAAUUUGUCUAAAUACGGAUGUAUCUAGUUACAUUUUAGUGUUAGAUACAUCUGUAUCUAAACAAAUGUAAGACAAGAAUUUUGGGUCAGAUGGAAUACUAC